AAAUUACUGUUUCAAGACACUGCUUGGUAGAUGCAAAAAGAUGAAUACUUCCAUUCCUGCUCGGAUCAGUCAUUAGAAGUGAAGAUAAUAUGGUAUGAACAACAAAAAUAACAAAUCCAACCCUGGUCUUGGAUAGAUCCAAAACUCCCACUAAUAGCACUGUAUGGAACGGGCUUCCCAGCUUCAGCCUUACCAGCUUCUCAAACUUGGCUGUACAACACUUGAGGCUUUCUUUGUGGGUUGAAACUGCCCUGUCACAUAUUGAGGAACUGGUUUGUGUUAAAAUUUAUCAUAUGUUGUUCAACCUCUGUUGUUUUGAAUCUUUAUUGUAGCUAACAUUUUAGUGCUGUAUUUUUUAACUUGGGUUAGUUCAACUGCUUUGAUUACUGACUUAGCCUUAUGAUAAAGCAUAAUCUGUUCAGCUAUGGCAGUCUCAUUUCCUCUGUUCAUAAAAGACAAAGAUAUGUUUGUAUUUUCAUUAUAGACAAGAACUCAUAUGUCUAUCAUUUUCAACUGUGAUGACUAUUAAAACCAUUUCUUUGAGCUGCAUUA